GAUGAACGCUGGCGGCGUGCCUAAUACAUGCAAGUCGAGCGAACAGACGAGGAGCUUGCUCCUCUGACGUUAGCGGCGGACGGGUGAGUAACACGUGGAUAACCUACCUAUAAGACUGGGAUAACUUCGGGAAACCGGAGCUAAUACCGGAUAAUAUAUUGAACCGCAUGGUUCAAUAGUGAAAGACGGUUUUGCUGUCACUUAUAGAUUGAUCCGCGCCGCAUUAGCUAGUUGGUAAGGUAACGGCUUACCAAGGCAACGAUGCGUAGCCGACCUGAGAGGGUGAUCGGCCACACUGGAACUGAGACACGGUCCAGACUCCCACGGGAGGCAGCAGUAGGGAAUCUUCCGCAAUGGGCGAAAGCUUGACGGAGCAACGCCGCGUGAGUGAUGAAGGUCUUCGGAUCGUAAAACUCUGUUAUUAGGGAAGAACAAAUGUGUAAGUAACUAUGCACGUCUUGACGGUACCUAAUCAGAAAGCCACGGCUAACUACGUG
rnacentral:rRNA from 1 species